CUGCGAGUCCGGCUCAGGCCGGCCUCGCAGUAAAGCCAGAGCCGCAGCCCACAAAGCCGCGGCUCAUACUCGAAAAACAUGACGACCAGCAGGGGCAUCCGGGCUGGUACCCGGACUAUCUGCGGGAACCCAAGUGGCUUUAUCCGAGUCGCAGCAUCAUGACUUUGAUCAGGACCAUGCGGUAUUCACGCCGGUGGUGUCCCCUUACCGAGGGUGACCA
rnacentral:ncRNA from 1 species